UACGGGGGGGGCAAGCGUUGUUCGGAAUUACUGGGCGUAAAGGGCUCGUAGGCGGCCAACUAAGUCAGACGUGAAAUCCCUCGGCUUAACCGGGGAACUGCGUCUGAUACUGGAUGGCUUGAGUUCGGGAGAGGGAUGCGGAAUUCCAGGUGUAGCGGUGAAAUGCGUAGAUAUCUGGAGGAACACCGGUGGCGAAGGCGGGUCUCUGGGCCGAACCUGACGCUGAGGCGCGAAAGCGUGGGGAGCAAACAGG
rnacentral:rRNA from 1 species